rnacentral:rRNA from 1 species
GACGAACGCUGGCGGCGUGCUUAACACAUGCAAGUCGAACGGUGACGAGGAGCUUGCUCCUCCGAUCAGUGGCGAACGGGUGAGUAACACGUGAGUAACCUGCCCCAGACUCUGGAAUAACAGUUGGAAACAGCUGCUAAUACCGGAUACGAGACGGAGAGGCAUCUCUACCGUCUGGAAAGUUUUUCGGUCUGGGAUGGACUCGCGGCCUAUCAGCUUGUUGGUGAGGUAAUGGCUCACCAAGGCGACGACGGGUAGCCGGCCUGAGAGGGCGACCGGCCACACUGGGACUGAGACACGGCCCAGACUCCUACGGGAGGCAGCAGUGGGGAAUAUUGCACAAUGGGCGAAAGCCUGAUGCAGCAACGCCGCGUGAGGGAUGACGGCC